GAUGAACGCUAGCUACAGGCUUAACACAUGCAAGUCGCGGGGCAGCAUGGGGGUUGCUUGCAACUCCCGAUGGCGACCGGCGCACGGGUGAGUAACGCGUAUCCAACCUGCCCUUCACCACGGGAUAACCCGGCGAAAGUCGGACUAAUACCGUAUGUUGUCCAUUGACGGCAUCCGAUUUGGACGAAAGGCUUUGCGGUGAAGGAUGGGGAUGCGUCCGAUUAGCCAGACGGCGGGGUAACGGCCCACCGUGGCUACGAUCGGUAGGGGUUCUGAGAGGAAGGUACCCCACACUGGAACGGAGACACGGUCCAGACUCCUACGGGAGGCAGCAGUGAGGAAUAUUGGUCAAUGGGCGUAAGCCUGAACCAGCCAAGUAGCGUGCAGGAGGACGGCACUAUGGGUUGUAAACUGCUUUUAUGCGGGGAUAAAGUGGCCCACGUGUGGGCUUUUGCAGGUACCGCAUGAAUAAGGACCGGCUAAUUCCGUG
rnacentral:rRNA from 1 species